rnacentral:ncRNA from 18 species
AGGCUGGCCGGUGCAGCUGGUUCGCCCCGUCCGCCAGGCGGGAUGCGUCGCAAGAGGGAACCCGGUGGAAAUCCGGGACUGCCCCGCAGCGGUGAACGGGAACGACCGCCGUCAUACGCACUGGACCCACGAACAGGGUCUGGGAAGCGACGGCCAGUAGGUGUCUCGUACGCACUCCGUACGGCGAGACGUGCCCGUGAGUCCGAAGACCUGCCCGUUGCCCGCGCGCGAAA